UCGGGAAUUUUGGGCAAUGGGCGAAAGCCUGACCCAGCAACGCCGCGUGAAGGAUGAAGUAUUUCGGUAUGUAAACUUCGAAAGAAUAGGAAGAAUAAAUGACGGUACUAUUUAUAAGGUCCGGCUAACUACGUGCCAGCAGCCGCGGUAAUACGUAGGGACCAAGCGUUGUUCGGAUUUACUGGGCGUAAAGGGCGCGUAGGCGGCAAUUCAAGUCAUCUGUGAAAUCUCCGGGCUUAACUCGGAACGGUCAGAUGAUACUGCUUUGCUAGAGUGCAGAAGGGGCAAUCGGAAUUCUUGGUGUAGCGGUGAAAUGCGUAGAUAUCAAGAGGAACACCUGAGGUGAAGGCGACCACCUGGACUGAUACUGACACUGAGGUGCGAAAGCGUGGGGAGCAAACAGGAUUAGAUACCCUCGUAGUCCCUGAGCGGGCUGGCAAGGCGCAU
rnacentral:rRNA from 1 species